UGGGGAAUUUUGGACAAUGGGGGAAACCCUGAUCCAGCCAUCCCGCGUGUGCGAUGAAGGCCUUCGGGUUGUAAAGUACUUUUGGCAGGAAAGAAACGUCAUGGGUUAAUACCCCGUGAAACUGACGGUACCUGCAGAAUAAGCACCGGCUAACUACGUGCCAGCAGCCGCGGUAAUACGUAGGGUGCAAGCGUUAAUCGGAAUUACUGGGCGUAAAGCGUGCGCAGGCGGUUCGGAAAGAAAGAUGUGAAAUCCCAGAGCUCAACUUUGGAACUGCAUUUUUAACUACCGGGCUAGAGUGUGUCAGAGGGAGGUGGAAUUCCGCGUGUAGCAGUGAAAUGCGUAGAUAUACGGAGGAACACCGAUGGCGAAGGCAGCCUCCUGGGAUAACACUGACGAUCAUGCACGAAAGCGUGGGGAGCAAACAGG
rnacentral:rRNA from 1 species